UGGGGAAUAUUGGACAAUGGGCGAAAGCCUGAUCCAGCCAUGCCGCGUGUGUGAAGAAGGCCUUUUGGUUGUAAAGCACUUUAAGUGGGGAGGAAAAGCUUAUGGUUAAUACCCAUAAGCCCUGACGUUACCCACAGAAUAAGCACCGGCUAACUCUGUGCCAGCAGCCGCGGUAAUACAGAGGGUGCAAGCGUUAAUCGGAAUUACUGGGCGUAAAGCGCGCGUAGGUGGUUAUUUAAGUCAGAUGUGAAAGCCCCGGGCUUAACCUGGGAACUGCAUCUGAUACUGGAUAACUAGAGUAGGUGAGAGGGGAGUAGAAUUCCAGGUGUAGCGGUGAAAUGCGUAGAGAUCUGGAGGAAUACCGAUGGGGAAGGCAGCUCCCUGGCAUCAUACUGACACUGAGGUGCGAAAGCGUGGGUAGCAAACAGGAUUAGAUACCCUGGUAGUCCACGCCGUAAACGAUGUCUACCAGUCGUUGGGUCUUUUAAAGACUUAGUGACGCAGUUAACGCAAUAAGUAGACCGCCUGGGGAGUACGGCCGCAAGGUUA
rnacentral:rRNA from 1 species